rnacentral:rRNA from 1 species
UACAGAGGUCCCAAGCGUUGUUCGGAUUCACUGGGCGUAAAGGGUGCGUAGGCGGUCGGGUAAGUCUGAUGUGAAAUCUCACAGCUUAGCUGUGAAACUGCAUUGGAUACUAUCCGGCUCGAGGAAUGGAGGGGAGACUGGAAUACUUGGUGUAGCAGUGAAAUGCGUAGAUAUCAAGUGGAACACCAGUGGCGAAGGCGAGUCUCUGGACAUUUCCUGACGCUGAGGCACGAAAGCCAGGGGAGCAAACGGG